AAUUUCGAUCUAAAAUAAUUUUUUAUCUAAAUUUUAUUCUAUUAUAAUGAAUCAUAAAUCACUUUAAAUCUAAUCUAAACAUAUUUAUGAUCAAAAUAAUAUAUAAAAAUCUAUUCACUUUUUUUUUCAUGAAAUCGAAUCACAAUGACAUCCCUACAUGUCAUAAAAAAAUCCAUCGAAUAGAUAAAAGAGAGAUUAAUCUCUUCAAUCUCCUAUGAUCGGAUGGUCUGGUGAUCUCAUCAAUCUGAGUACUAGACUAUUAAGAUCUAAAAUCUAAUUUCAUAUACAAUUACAUCUACAUGUAAUUAUUGACAAAAUAAUUUUGUAUCAUGAACAUAUCCCUGAUCUUAUCAAUUAUGUUCUUCAUCUAAUCUAAUUAGAUUUAAUGUAUCAUAUAUAUCA
rnacentral:lncRNA from 1 species